rnacentral:piRNA from 1 species
UGGUUUGGGUGUAAACUGAUCCUGAAUA